CUCAGCUGUUCCUCGGUAAAAUGGGAGUAAUUAGGGUUUGCCUCGAAAGGCUGUGAAGAAGUGUAUGCAGCCAGCCGUGGUGGCACACGCCUAUAGUUCCAGUACUCAGGAGGCUGAAGCAGGAGGAUCACAAAUCCGAGCCCAGCCUGGGUGAGUAGUGACUAGCAAGACCCUGUCUCAAAAGAGCAGCAACAGAAGUAAAUGGCUGGGGCAUACAUACCUCAGCACCAUGGCCCUGGGGUCAAUCAGAAUUCCAAUCACAAACCAAAGCAGGCUGGUCUGGCCUCAGGGGAGGGGAGCCUGGCUCUCACCACCCAGCAGCCCAGUUCCCUCCAUCAAGGAGGCUGUGACUCUGGCGAAGGACAGGGCUGAAGGUGAGAAAUCAGGGGAGAGACCACUCCCAAGCCAGCCCCGGGCAGGCAGCCCCGCAGCACGGAAGGGGAGCUCUCGCCUGUGACCCACAAUGUAUGUCAAGUGCCCUGCAGCUGUCAGAGCCACUUCUGUCAUCUGGGGUCAGGGAAUGCGAGUGCCAGAAGGAGUUUCCAAAACACCCAGGCGCCAGGGACGCCCUCCUCCGCUGGACGGAACCGGACUGGGCCAGCUGGGCUCCAGCUCAGAGCUUCGGAGGCAGGGCAGCCGCAGCUGACUCUGCUGCUGACAUGGUCCACACCGGCACUCUCUCCUCUUCCGGUCUGCAGGAGAUGCAGCUCCUGCCCUCAACCCUGAGCUUUGAAAGGCAUCUUACAAGAUAACACCCGGUGUUAAAAGUGGUCAUCUCUGAGACACAGAUCAGAGCAGAUUUCCUAUUUGUAUAUUUGUGUAUUUUUUAACCUAUGGUAUUAUUUCUGCCCCCAGUCUCCCAAUGCAAGCUCCUCAUUGAGCGUUAUUCAGUCGCUUCUCUUUCCCAUGGGCUAAGUUCUAGUUUCAUCCAGAAAUCGGUGACUCAGUUUCCUCUGUAGAGAGGAGAGCUGGGCGGGGUGAUGUACAUCUGCAAUCCCAGCAUCCUGGGAGGCUGAAGCAGGAGGAUCAUAAAUCCAAGCCCAGCCUGUACAACUUAGUGACUUCGUGAGAUUCUGUCUAAAAAUUAAAAAUAUGGGCUGGGGAUUCAGCUCAGUGGCACCAUGCCUGCCUCACAAUCCCAAAGUCCUGAGUUCGAUCCCCAGUACAGCAAAAUAAGUAAGUAAAAUAAAAUAAAAAAGGGCUGGGAAUAUAGCUCAGUGCAAAGGCCCUGGGCUCAAUAACCAGUACCAAACACAAAAGGCAAAGCGGGGAGGGAACAGCAGUGCAAGCGACCAGGACCCCGGCAGCCUGUGGAUACCAUACCCACCCACGUGGCAUUUGGACCCCACCAGGCCCUGGACCAGCAGCCUGCACUUUUUCCACCAGCACUUUUCUCCACCCUCCCUCCCCUCCAUUCUUAUGUCUAAAGAAGUACGAGGAGCCCAAGAGAAUGCUUUUAUCUGGGGACCCAGGGACGCCUUUUUCUGUGGCAUCGCAGGGGUUUGGGUCCUGCACCAAACACUCGCUAGCACACAGGUUUUAUGGCUGUAAAGUUAAGCCCUAGGACAGGCAUCAGAGAUGGCCCUCUCUUCCCUCCUCGGAUCCCCGGACUCUGAUUCACACACUUACCCCGCAUCAGUUUGGGUACCAUGGCAACGGGACUCCACAUCCGGAGCAGAUGGCACUGCAGACGGCCCAGCUUCACCACGCAGACGCAUUUCUGUCCAGCUGGCAGGGAGUAGCACCUGGGAACUGUUUACUCGGCACAACACGGAGGAGCCAGCAGCCAGGAGGGCCUGGUGGAGACGGAGAAAGGAGGCUGGGAAAGCUUUGUCUGAGAUGGGGCAGGGCAGCCCUCUGCGCAUGGACAGGCAAAACACCGUGCAUGCUGCUGCCUGGUCUCAGCAAAGCUGAGGGGCCGGGAGAAUUCAGGGGUCCCGUGCUACUGGUCAGGCUCACCGAGGGGCCACAUCAGAGCCAGCCAGGAAGUCACCAGACACGCAGCUCUCAACCAGAGCGGGGAAAGGCCAAGAGGCUCCCGUGGGGAAAGGCUCGUCUUUGUCAACUCCCUCCCCACAAGGCCUGGGUUUAGUGCCCCGCAGGCUUUUGUGGGAUGGAUGCAAGAGCAUGCGAUGCAAACCCAACAGAGGGCCCGUGCCUGGGACCGGGUUUGGGGUGUGUGACUUUAAAGGCAGGAUGCCAGCCACAGAACGUUUUGUGAGAUAUCCUGAGCGCCGGCAGUACCAGUGCAAUUCUGACGUAGUUAGUCCCGGGUGAUGCAUGGGUGUUUCAUUUCCUGCUUUAGAAUUCUUUCCAGCCACAAGGCCCUCGGGGUCUCCCAGGCCCUGGGCGAAGUCUGGCUGGGAAUGACACUCCUGCCCACCCACGUGGAGAGCGCAGUCACUCACUCUCCUGGAGGACCAGGGUCUUCGUCUCCUCAGGAGGUUUUUGGUGAGUGCCCAUCUGGAGUGGCAGAUGUCCCUGCUAGGCAGGACUGGAGCCCCACACCAGCCCAGUCUCCAGUAACCUGGAGGUGAAACUGGGCCAAAGGCAGGAGCAGGAACAGGAGGGUUUCCAAACAAGACCCCAGGGGCUGGAGGCAUCUGACAAUAAAUGACUACCAGAAAAAACACAGUUUCUGUUUUUGUUUUUAUUAAGAACCUCAAAGAAAAGCAACAGAGAUGAACUGAUUCCAAGACGAUCCCUAAUGCAGGCAG
ensembl:lncRNA